rnacentral:rRNA from 1 species
AUUGAACGCUGGCGGCAUGCCUUACACAUGCAAGUCGAACGGUAACAGGUCUUCGGAUGCUGACGAGUGGCGAACGGGUGAGUAAUACAUCGGAACGUGCCCGAGAGUGGGGGAUAACGAGGCGAAAGCUUUGCUAAUACCGCAUACGAUCUCAGGAUGAAAGCAGGGGACCGCAAGGCCUUGCGCUCACGGAGCGGCCGAUGGCAGGUUAGGUAGUUGGUGGGAUAAAAGCUUACCAAGCCGACGAUCUGUAGCUGGUCUGAGAGGACGACAGCCACACUGGGACUGAGACACGGCCCAGAUUCCUACGGGAGGCAGCAGUGGGGAAUUUUGGACAAUGGGCGCAAGCCUGAUCCAGCCAUGCCGCGUGCAGGAUGAAGGCCUUCGGGUUGUAAACUGCUUUUGUACGGAACGAAAAGACUCUGGUUAAUACCUGGGGUCCAUGACGGUACCGUAAGAAUAAGCACCGGCUACUACGUGCCAGCCGCCGCGGUAAGAC